UUUGUUUCUGAUUUUCAAAUUUUGAAAUCUGACCCACCUUCUCUCUCUCUCUCUCUCUCCCCAUCAUCCCUUGCAGGCAACCAAACCAAAACCCUUAUUAGUUCUUCAUCUUCUCUCUUCCUCCCUUCUCUCUUCAUAAUCGUCAUCUUCUCUCUUCCGACCGAAUGGAUCAACUAUAUAUAUGACUCAGAGAUAGGAGAUUCAGAGAUUCAGAGAUGGGACCGAAUGUAUGUAUAUAAAUGCAUUUGUUGUCAUAUCUUAUUCUCCGAGUUUUGAACCAUAACAUCGUGCAAGAUCAUGCUUGAUCCACAAGGGGUGAGUAAGGGUUCUGGUUUUGUGGCCUUCUCAACCUCCGUGGAAGCUACAAGAGCUUUGAAUGCGAUGAAUGGCAAGAUGAUUGGACAUAAACCUUUUAUUGUUGCCGUGGCCCAG